UACGUAGGGGGCAAGCGUUGUCCGGAAUCAUUGGGCGUAAAGAGCGUGGAGGCGGCCCGGUAAGUCCGCUGUGAAAGUCCAGGGCUCAACCCUGGGAUGCCGGUGGAUACUGUCGGGCUCGAGUCCGGUAGAGGCGAGUGGAAUUCCUGGUGUAGCGGUGAAAUGCGCAGAUAUCAGGAGGAACACCAAUGGCGAAGGCAGCUCGCUGGGACGUGACUGACGCUGAGACGCGAAAGCGUGGGGAGCAAACAGG
rnacentral:rRNA from 1 species